rnacentral:rRNA from 1 species
GUCUACGGCUAUGCCAUCCUGAACAUGCUCAGUCCCGUCUGAUCUCGGAAGCUAAGCAGGGUCAGGCCUGGUUAGUACUUGGAUGGGAGACCACCUAGGUAUAUCAGGUGCUGUAGGCA